rnacentral:lncRNA from 1 species
CAUGGACGAAAAUUCUGGUGUUAAAAGAAGGAUUUGACAUCAAAUCAAUUUAGAUGCAAUUUCCUUAAGUGUGCACUUUAGGAAAUAGGCAGAAAUUCUUUUAUCUCCUAAUCUGGAUUCAACCAAAUUCAAAAUUCAAAAUUGAUUCCCAUAAAUUACAGCAAUCAAUUGAGAUAGGUAAGGCAAUAUGGACGAAAAAGGAAACAUACCACAAUUUCGGCCAGAUCAAGAUAAAUAAGGUAAAGGCGAUUUUUGAUUUUUUUUUUUUUUUUUUUUAGGAUUUCGAUUUUUUUUUUAUAACUAAUAAUCAAGAAGGUGCAGCCAUGGACACACAAGCUUUC